GGUGUCUUAGCAUCUCAUGUUGCUUACGUUCUUUUUUGUGCCAUCGCAUCAACUUAGCAUUCGCCUUGUUCCUGAACAAGCGCUUCAAGCGUGGUAUUAUAGGGAAAUAUCACAUCACCUUCACAGGAACUCUCUUCUUACGAGGCUGCCCCUCAACAUCACCAGGAUCAUCUCGCCUGAUCUUAUACCGUAGCGCUUCGCACACGGGACAAGCAUCUAGUUUCUCGUAUUUAGCACUACGAUAGAGGAUACAGUCAUUACAGCAUGCGUGUAUCUUCC
rnacentral:lncRNA from 1 species